rnacentral:rRNA from 1 species
UACGUAGGGGGCAAGCGUUGUCCGGAAUCAUUGGGCGUAAAGCGCGUGUAGGCGGUUCGGUAAGUCGGCUGUGAAAGUCCAGGGCUCAACCCUGGGAUGCCGGUCGAUACUGCCGGACUAGAGUUCGGAAGAGGCGAGUGGAAUUCCCGGUGUAGCGGUGAAAUGCGCAGAUAUCGGGAGGAACACCAAUGGCGAAGGCAGCUCGCCUGGGACGUUACGUGACGCUGAGACGCGAAAGCGUGGG